rnacentral:rRNA from 1 species
GAACGGGUGAGUAACACGUGGGCAAUCUGCCCUGCACUCUGGGACAAGCCCUGGAAACGGGGUCUAAUACCGGAUAACACUCCUACACUCAUGUGUGGGUGUUGAAAGCUCCGGCGGUGCAGGAUGAGCCCGCGGCCUAUCAGCUUGUUGGUGAGGUAAUGGCUCACCAAGGCGACGACGGGUAGCCGGCCUGAGAGGGCGACCGGCCACACUGGGACUGAGACACGGCCCAGACUCCUACGGGAGGCAGCAGUGGGGAAUAUUGCACAAUGGGCGAAAGCCUGAUGCAGCGACGCCGCGUGAGGGAUGACGGCCUUCGGGUUGUAAACCUCUUUCAGCAGGGAAGAAGCGCAAGUGACGGUACCUGCAGAAGAAGCGCCGGCUAACUACGUGCCAGCAGCCGCGGUAAUACGUAGGGCGCAAGCGUUGUCCGGAAUUAUUGGGCGUAAAGAGCUCGUAGGCGGCUUGUCACGUCGGGUGUGAAAGCCCGGGGCUUAACCCCGGGUCUGCAUUCGAUACGGGCUAGCUAGAGUGUGGUAGGGGAGAUCGGAAUUCCUGGUGUAGCGGUGAAAUGCGCAGAUAUCAGGAGGAACACCGGUGGCGAAGGCGGAUCUCUGGGCCAUUACUGACGCUGAGGAGCGAAA